CUCGAAAUUUUUGGGGCUCUGUAAAUUGGGGUAUAAGUCCCUGCAAAAAAGCCAUCAACAGACAGAAACUGGCAUCGGUGCACUAAGUUAGUAGGUUAGUCCAAAUAUGUGUAAAAAGGUAUGAAAGUGUAGGAAAACAUAUAACAAUGUCACCAACAAGAGCAUGGAACAAACAUAAAUUAUAGAUACGUUUCCGACGUAGCACCCACGCUUCGCCGGCCAGGA
rnacentral:lncRNA from 1 species